AAUACUUUAAAAUAGAGCCUAGAGGCCCAGUCCCUAGGAAUAUGAAAAAAAAAGCGAUUGAAACAAAUACAAAAGACAAAUCAUGGAUGUCUUUGAUGAUUCCCAACAAUUCAUUCCUCUGUGUCUUGUUGUUGAUUACUCCAAUGAGCGUUAAGUUGUCAGAGCAGACCCAGAGAUUCGAGAUCCCUUGAUUUGCAUCCAUGUAAAAGUCCUUCCUUGAUCGCCAGAGCUUCAGCGACCAACGGUGAAUCGAUAUAGUUGUUCCCUCAAUAAAGAACUCGAUGCUUUGAUUAUGAUCCAAGCUAGGCCUGACUUGUAUCGAGUCGCGUCCCACGAAGCAUCCGUCUUGCAGGUGGCGAUUUCAGAUUGGGCAGAAUUGAUUCCCUGAUUCAAUUGAUUUGUGUUCCGGUAUGAGUCUUUUGGCCUUUAGAGACCGGCGAUUGUGUCUCAUUCCAUUCCCUUGCUAACGCUAAUCCUUUGUUGUUGUAUCUUCAUGUUGUUCACUUUUCCCUUCAAAUAUGAGUGUGUUUCGGUCCUUCUAAAUAGACCAGAAUACCCAUGGGAGAAUGGUGUUUGAUACUUCAGUGGGGGGGGGGGGGGGAGGCAGGUUGCUGAGCAAAAGUGUACCACCGUCGAUGCAAACGGACAGAGAAUAAGAUAUGAAUAAGAGAUUCAAUUUCCUUACAUCUUGGGCAUCUAAUAUCUGAGCUGAUUCCUCCUUUUUGAAGGUUCUCGCCUAGGGACAAGGCGACUUGGAUGAUCGACCAGAGAAUGACUUUCAUCUUAGGUGAGCAGGAGAUUGACCAUACGUCCUUAAUCCAGUUAAAAUCCCCAAUCGAGCUACUGAUGUUCUGUUCUUGAUUAAGGUUUGCCACUGAAUUAUACCCUGAUCUUGUAGAGUAGAUACCAGAGGGGAGAGGUUGCCAUAUGUACUGUUGUCUGCUCCUCUUUGACUUGGUUUGGGGCAUUGGAUUCACUCUGCAAACUCAGGUAGAAAUCUCUCAAUUCUUUGCUUGUUCCUUCUUUUUUAUUGGCCUUUCUUUUUUGCUAGGCCGGGUCAAUUCGGGGUCCAUAUGUUUAUACGGUCCACUUCCAACACACUUUUAAACUUGUAUAGUUCUAGUCAAAUGAGUACGUUUACCAAAAAUAAAUAAACCACACAAUCUUUCAUCAACUAAGGAUGCGUAAAAAUUCCAUAGUAUUUGUAGAAUACCUUGAUGCCCCUAAAGAAAUUUAGGAAAGAUAGGGAAAAAAUAAGGGUGAGGUCUCAUUAGCAUGUUCUUGAUUAAGACUUUUCCAUGUAUCCAGUGCCAUGAUCUUGAUCAUUUCUUCGGCUUUAACUACAAUUUCUUCAGCGGGAGCUGCUAUCAGUAUUGGAAACGUCUUCAGUUUUGGGCUUUGCUCUAACCGAAGCUAUUGCAUUGUUUGCUCCAAUGAUGGCCUUUUUGAUCUUAUUCCUAUUCUGAUAGAAGAAAGAAGGUUUCAUUCAGUCUCAUGGCUCACGCGCAACCCCUCCCUGCUUCUGUAACACCCGUCUCCUCCUACAUGGAGAACGGCGUGUUACUACCGGUGAAAUAUCGAAUUAAACCGAAUUAUUCCAAAUCGAACAAAAUAACAUAAUAUUUAAUAGAAUAAUUUUAAAGGAAAUAAAUUUUUAAAUUUAAGUAUAAAAAUAUAUCAAAUAAAUCGAAUGUAAAAUUCGUAUAAAUCAUUAGUUAAAACCGAAAUAAAUACAAUUAUCCCAAGACACCAAACCGUCCAGAUAUCCAACAACUCGGCAAGCUCACCUGCAAGGGGGAAGAAGAGGGGUGAGCAACAGGGGAGUUACUCCGUGAGGUAUGGGGAUGCUAAACACGCAAACCACUGACUUGAGUAAAUAGAACUCCCACUAUGGAAGUUUAGCUCUAACAUGAACACAUACGACGCCUAGCGCGUCACACAAACCAAACAAUGCGAUGAUAGCAUAAAGCUAGUCCAUACACCCCGCAUCUCCUCAUAUGGAUAUAUAAUACGUAGCGUCGCUAGUACAGUAUGUCUCUGUACCCCCGCCCUCUCAAGUAGCGUCCAUGAUACAAACGUCUCUGCACCACACGCCCGCACAAGUAGCAUCGCAAGUCCAGACGUCUCUGAACCCCUGCCCGCACAAUCAAAGUAGCGUCGCUAGCCCAGACAUCUCUGAGCCCCCGCCCGCGCACAUAGUCCGUACUAAUAACUAUGUAUACAUACAUAUAUAUAUCGCAUCUCUUAACAUCACACAAUCCAAUAAAAAGUUGAAUCCUCUAGACCCCUAGUUCCAAUUUACAAUGAAUGAACUAACUAACAAUCAAGACUCAAUUCAAACAGACGGAUCAUGAUUCGAAAUCUAAAAUACGAUAGAGAAAAUUCUACACUGGUACGGGAUUUACGGAAUAGACCCUCACCUUAGCCAUAAAGAAAAAACCAGAAACGGAUCCGACAAUACAUGAAAUGACUUGAUCAUCCAGAAAGCUAGAAUUUUGCCAUGGAUUUCGAAUACUCGUUGAAGACAAACCAUAUCAAAAAGGAACAUAGAAAAAUAUUAAAAUAAGAAUAAAUAAUGGAUUUAUAAGGAUGGUUACUUGCUACACAAGUAAUAAAGAAACGAGCACUUGAACCUCACGGUUUUGACUCGCGGUUAUGGAUCUCGAACUCGGCGAAGGGUGCUGCAUCUCCGAUGGAUCACAGCUCACGGUUGAUGAUGAUGGUGCGGAUCAACGGCGGUCGAGGUGCGGUGACUCCGGCUUGAACGCCUUCUCUCCCUCUCCGCUCAAGCUCUUCAUCUCACGGAUCCGAUAGGUAAGAUUAACGCAAUGAACGUGACGGCACAUAACAAGUCUGUAAUGGCAGGGGCUGCUUCUCCAGUAUGAUACACGGCCAUUGAUCUGUGGUGGUUGGUGCUAAGGGCGUGUGACGAAGAUGACAGCUUCUCUACCCCAAAGCAUGGAGAUUGCACGAACAAGAAGCUAAUCAAGGAGAAGACAAAAUAGAGAAGGGAGGAGAUGAUCGUGAAGUAGAGAAGAAAUAAAAAUGGUGGAUGCGGCUCCCGAGAAGGAGGAAGGGUAAGUGAAAUAUAUAUAGCUAGGUAUAAGGAAUAACAUGAUAAAUUAGAAAUAUGAAUAAUUUAGUUUGGGGCAUGGUUUGGUCCAAUCAAAUUAAUUAAAAAGAAACCAAACCAACCGGUUGAGAAAACCGGGUCGUUACAGCUUCUCCCUUCCCCCUCCCCUUACCGUCCAAAACUCAGAUGCCUUAUGGAGUAUAGCCAAGUGGUAACGCACCGGUUUUUGGUACCGGCAUGCAAAUGUUCAAAUCCUUUUACACCAGAUUAUGAACACCCGAUCGUAUCUGUCAAGAACGAGCUGACGACUACAAGGGAAGCUCUCAUUAAUUAGCUGAUAAGGGGAAGCGGCUGAAAGCAGUCCCUGAGCUAAGCCUUGGAAAUCUAAUGCCUUUCAAAUCCUCCUAACCAUUAUCCUACUGCAACAAUUCUUGCUAAAAAGAACGCCCACCCCUAUCUGUUUGAUAACAGUUUCUUCCUAGUUUUCUUGAAACAGAUAAUCUUGCUCAACUGAAACAAAAAAAGAGCGACUUAUUGCAUUGCUCUCACAAACUAUUAAUUUUAUAAGAGAAGAAAGAUUGUUUUAAAAAGAAAGAACGUUUGGAUUCGAGGCGGAUCCCUUUUUUCGUUUCCUUUACGAGUAAGAAAGUGGUUACGCUCGGGGAGUCGGGGACUUUAAAUUUCUUUUACUUUGGUUCGAGUCCACAAACCACUAAGACUUCAGGCUAAAUCCUGAAGUAAGUUAGAAAGCGUUGUUUGAUGAGCCUGCCUAGUAUUAGUUAGUUGGUUAGGUAAAGGCUAACCAAACCAAUGAUGCUUACCUUUCCUAAAUGAAUAGAUUAUCGCGGAGGCUUUACAUGGAGAAAGAGAUGAUAUCCCUUGGAAAAUAUUAAAUUUUGAUUUCUAAACUUAUGAAUUCUUUUGAUCUCAUUUUGUUGAUAUUAAGAAGUGAUUAUAGGCACUUAAUUAUCUAUUCCGCUUUCUACAGUAUUUUGUGCUACUUUACUUUGGAGUUAAUGAAUGUUCUCAUAUCUAAGUAUAACAUAUCUACAG
rnacentral:lncRNA from 1 species